GAUGAACGCUGGCGGCGGGCCUAAUACAUGCAAGUCGAGCGAAGCGGGGACGGGUGAGUAACACGUGGAUAACCUCCUAUAAGACUGGGUUAACUUUGGGAAACCGGAGCUAAACCGGCAACUUAUCGAUGGAUCCGCGGUGCAUUAGCUAGUUGGUAAGGUAACGGACUACCAAGGCAACGAUGCAUAGCCGACCUGAGAGUGUGAUCAGCAACACUGGAACGGAGACACGGUCCAGACUCCUACGGGAGGCAGCAGUAGGGAAUAUUCCGCAAUGGGCGAAAGCCUGACGAAGCAAUGCCGCGUGAGUGAGGAAGGCCUUCGGGUGGUAAAACACUGUUAUUAGGGAGGCGGUACCUAAUCAGAAAGCCCCGGCUAACUACGUGCCAGCAGCCGCGGUAAUAC
rnacentral:rRNA from 1 species